CUUUAAGAAAGGCAAGAUGCUGCUCUUAUGCAAAAGUCCUUAGGAAUACAAAUAAGGGGAAAAGAAAUAUAGAAAAUACCCAUUGGGACUGGCUGCUAGUGUCAUGAGCCAGCAAUGAUCUUUAGUGAAAGAAUUUGGUCUGCAGGCAGCUGAGAGCUGGGGGAGCCAGCAGAGAAGUUGCAGUUUCCUGUGUGCUUUACAGAAGAGACAAGUUUGAGGAGGGCCUUGAAAGAAGACAAG